rnacentral:rRNA from 1 species
GACGAACGCUGGCGGCGUGCUUAACACAUGCAAGUCGAACGGAAAGGCCCUGCUUUUGUGGGGUGCUCGAGUGGCGAACGGGUGAGUAACACGUGAGUAACCUGCCCUUGACUUUGGGAUAACUUCAGGAAACUGGGGCUAAUACCGGAUAGGAGCUCCUGCUGCAUGGUGGGGGUUGGAAAGUUUCGGCGGUUGGGGAUGGACUCGAGGCUUAUCAGCUUGUUGGUGGGGUAGUGGCUUACCAAGGCUUUGACGGGUAGCCGGCCUGAGAGGGUGACCGGCCACAUUAGGACUGAGAUACGGCCCAGACUCCUACGGGAGGCAACAGUGGGGAAUAUUGCACAAUGGGCGGAAGCCUGAUGCAGCAACGCCGCGUGCGGGAUGACGGCCUUCGGGUUGUAAACCGCUUUCGCCUGUGACGAAGCGUGAGUGACGGUAAUGGGUAAAGAAGCACCGGCUAACUACGUG